GGGUUGUGAGGUUAAGCGACUAAGCGUACACGGUGGAUGCCCUGGCAGUCAGAGGCGAUGAAGGACGUGCUAAUCUGCGAUAAGCGUCGGUGAGGUGAUAUGAACCGUUAUAACCGGCGAUUUCCGAAUGGGGAAACCCAGUGUGUUCGACACACUAUCAUUAACUGAAUCCAUAGGUUAAUGAGGCGAACCGGGGGAACUGAAACAUCUAAGUACCCCGAGGAAAAGAAAUCAACCGAGAUUC
rnacentral:rRNA from 1 species